rnacentral:rRNA from 1 species
UGCGUAGGGUGCGAGCGUUAAUCGGAAUUACUGGGCGUAAAGGGUGCGCAGGCGGUCUCGUAAGCUGGGUGUGAAAGCCCCGGGCUUAACCUGGGAAUGGCAUUCAGGACUGCGAGGCUUUGAGUGCGGCAGAGGGAGGUGGAAUUCCACGUGUAGCAGUGAAAUGCGUAGAGAUGUGGAGGAACACCGAUGGCGAAGGCAGCCUCCUGGGUCAGCACUGACGCUGAUGCGCGAAAGCGUGGGGAGCAAACAGG